AGCCGGCUGAGGAGUCCUAAAUGGGACGAAAGACGUGUCCUAGAU
rnacentral:hammerhead_ribozyme from 1 species